rnacentral:rRNA from 1 species
AGAAGGCAAAAACGUCCGCGUGGAGGUGAGCGCAGCGGUGGCGUGUGCCCUAACGGCGUGGGCGUGGAGACGACGGCACCGUCCGCCUCGCCGUCUCAGGGCCAGCCGCAUCCGGUGGAGGCCGCUUCCGAGCCCCGGAGGCCAAUAAAAGCGGCCGCCCCCCCACAACCACCUCUUCCCUUUCUUCCACCUCCCACCCAACCCCCACCCCCGCCCCUGUCCUCGCGCCCCUGCUCCCCGCCCCGCCCGCGCUAAAUUGCCAAGCUUUCCCAAUGGAGGUGACCGUCGGGUAACCCGUCGUCCGUCCGCGUCCGCCAUGAGUCCUUGAUUUUUCCUAUUAUUAGGAGAUUCUCCGGGGCUCCGGAUUUGGCUGGGGGAGGAGUGAGGGGGAGGGGGAGGCUGGUCCAGAUUUGUGGGCGUGUUCCCGCGGGGGAACUGAUGGUGGGUUACAUGGAGUGGUCGCACGACUGGCUGCUGUGGGACGCCUUCUUGGAAUGCGGAGGGAUCCGGAGGCCGCCGAUUAGAUAGCGGCCGGGGAGGAGGAGGGAGGAGCGGAGGACCAGGAGGAGGAGGAGGCCGCCAUUAGCACCCACCCUGCCACCACCCCGACGCCCGACUCGCCACUCACCAGCCGGGCGCCCAUGGGGGAGGACCUCGUCACCACCCUCUCCAUGGAGAACGGCGGCGGCGGCGGGGGCCACCACGGCCUCUGCACCCUGCUCUCCAUGGACCCCUCCGGCCACCUCGACGACCGCGCCGUCGGCGUCAUGGUGCAGCCCCGCGCCGGAGGGGGCCGCCCCCACGCCCACGCCGUGUCCCUCUCCGGCGCCCCGCCGCCCGACAUCAACCAGCCGUGGCAGACGGAGCCCUGCGACAUGCUCGGCGUCGGCCUCGGCCCGCAGGUGUUCGACGCCGAGGCCGUGCUCAGCGCCGCGCCCAAGGCUGCCGCCGCCGGGAGCCGCAAGACCACCAAGCGCGGGGACAGCAUCUGGGGCGCCUGGUUCUUCUUCACCUUCUACUUCAAGCCCCUGCUGUCGGACAAGGCCAAGAGCAAGGUCGUCCGGGACGCCAACGGCGUGUCGGGGUUCGACAAGUCGGACCUCCGGCUCGACAUGUUCCUGGUGCAGCACGACAUGGAGAACAUGUACAUGUGGGUGUUCAAGGAGAGGCCGGACAACGCCCUCGGCAAGAUGCAGCUGCGGAGCUACAUGAAUGGGCACUCACGCCCCGGUGAGCCGCAUUUCCCUUUCAGUGUCGACAGGGGAUUUGUCCGGUCGCACCGGAUGCAGCGCAAGCACUACCGGGGGCUCUCCAACCCGCAGUGCAUCCAUGGGAUCGAGGUGGUGAGCUCGCCGAAUCUCGUGGGCAUCACCGAUGUCGACCGGAGGAGGUGGGCGGAGCUCACAGGGAGGGAGCUCAAUUUCUCCAUCCCACAGGAGGCCAGUGAUUUUGGGACAUGGAGGACCAUGCCAAGCUCAGAGCUUGAGCUGGAGAGGCCACACACACACACUGCCAUGAAGAGCAAUACUAAUAAUGUUCAGCAGCAGCCCCCCAAGAAGACGCUUAAUGGAUCUGGCUUGAAUUUGUCAUCACCAUCCAAUCAUUCAGGAGAGGACGGCAUGGAUCUCUCCCCUGUGAGCAGCAAGCGCCGGAAGGAGGCAUUCCCACAUGCCAUGGAUGAGGAGUGCUUCCUGCCUCUGAACCCUUGCAACGGGAGGACACAACAAGAUGUCGACAUGCAAUCAGCAGUGCAGCCUUCAUGGAUGCACGAGUUCACCGGGGUGAUGAGGAAAGCCUCCGGGCCGGCAACUGCUGCCAAGUCCAUUUACGAGGAUGACCAGGGCUACUUGAUAAUGGUCAGCUUACCAUUUGUCGAUCAGCAGAGGGUAAAGGUUUCAUGGAAGAACACCCCCACUCACGGCAUAGUUAAAAUCUUCUGUGUUAGCACGGCCCGGAUGCCAUACAUAAGGAGACAUGACAGGGUCUUCAAGCUCACCGACGCCAUGCCGGAGCACUGCCCUCCCGGGGAGUUCAUCCGCGAAAUACCUCUAGCCACCCGUAUCCCCGAAGACGCCAAGCUUGAGGCAUGCUUUGACGAGGCCGCUGCGGUUCUUGAGAUCAUGGUCCCCAAACGGGGGAACGAGCCGGAAGAACAUGAAGUCAGGGUCUCCAUGCGCCCUCCUCACCUGGGAGUGAACGACCUGCUUAUGACAUAGGUAAUGGAAGGCCUAUCUUUCUUGUCUGUGAUCACCAGAUCGUGGGUAUGCUCGAAGGGGCUACUGUUAGCAUCUUGUUCCGGGACUGUUACUGUUGAUUACUGUGCUAGGCCUCUUCAGCAACAAGCUUUUGCUCAAGAUUAGUUGGUUCUAGCUUGUAUGUGACGGGUGUCUUUUUAACCCUCGUGUUCUCUUCUCCUAGCGUCAUAUUGUGGGUGGCCUGUUUGUCCUUGAAUCUGUACCAAGUUCAGUUAACAGAAUAAAAUUUAUAAUUGGUGGGUUACUGCUCAAUUUUUGGAUCUUGAUUAGUAGCUCUUCUGUUAGCACAAGUCUGUACUUCUUCCCAAAUUUCCAAUGUUCUUUGCUGUCAAGAAAUUGAUUCAGUGCUUCAGCUUAUGGUGAUGAACUGUACGUGUCUGUAUCCAAGUCACAAUCAUCUUUCAUGUCCCAAUCAGCAUACACUAUACUGGAAUUGUUGAUGCAGCAGCAUUACUUUGGUUUCUGAAAAACAGAAACAUCAUCCCUUGCAUUAAACUUCCAUCUGGCUCCUUCUCACUGAAUCUCUUGCUCUUGAAACUGGAUUUUCACAACAGAAAAAUAAAGCUCCUCCGAACUGUGACAGAUUUGGCAUCCGGGAAGCCGGUGAGCACCUGGUUUUUCUAUGCCUCUUUUCUAUAGCUAUUUGGCAGUAGUAUCAAUCUUUUCUGGGUUCUAAAACUGAAUUCUCA